AACGAACGCUGGCGGCAUGCCUAACACAUGCAAGUCGAACGAGACCUUCGGGUCUAGUGGCGCACGGGUGCGUAACGCGUGGGAACCUGCCCUUAGGUUCGGAAUAACUCCCCGAAAGGGGUGCUAAUACCGGAUAAUGUCUUCGGACCAAAGAUUUAUCGCCUUUGGAUGGGCCCGCGUUGGAUUAGCUAGUUGGUAGGGUAAAAGCCUACCAAGGCGACGAUCCAUAGCUUGUCUGAGAGGAUGAUCAGCCACACUGGGACUGAGACACGGCCCAGACUCCUACGGGAAGCAGCAGUGGGGAAUAUUGGACAAUGGGCGAAAGCCUGAUCCAGCAAUGCCGCGUGAGUGAUGAAGGCCUUAGGGUUGUAAAGCUCUUUUACCCGGGAUGAUAAUGACAGUACCGGGAGAAUAAGCUCCGGCUAACUCCGUG
rnacentral:rRNA from 1 species